GACGAACGCUGGCGGCGCGCUUAACACAUGCAAGUCGAACGGAAAGGCCCUGCUUUUGUGGGGUGCUCGCGUGGCGAACGGGUGAGUAACACGUGAGUAACCUGCCCUUGACUUUGGGAUAACUUCCGGAAACUGGGGCUAAUACCGGAUAGGAGCUCCUGCUGCAUGGUGGGGGUUGGAAAUUUUCUGCGGUUGGGGAUGGACUCGCGGCUUAUCAGCUUGUUGGUGGGGUAGUUGCUUACCACGGCUUUGACGGGUAGCCGGCCUGAGAGGGUGGCCGGCCACAUUGGGAGUGAGAUACGGCCCAGACUCCUACGGGUGGAAGCAGUGGGGAACAUUGCACAAUGGGCGGAAGCCUGAUGCAGCAACGCCGCGUGCGGGAUGACGGCCUUCGGGUUGUAAACGGCUUUCGCCUGUGACGAAGCGUGAGUGACGGUAAUGGGUAAAGAAGCACCGGCUAACUACGUG
rnacentral:rRNA from 1 species